CCGGGAGGGCAGCCCCGCCCAGCGCGCGCGGCCCCGGCCCUCAGGGGCCGCCGCCAUUUUGCCUGUGACCAGGAAAGGAGAAUGCCAAAAUCCUUUGUAAUGGAGAGCAGGAAGGAGUCCCACUUUCAUCUGGAGCAGGUAAUAUGUUUACUUGAUUAACCGUACCGAAAAUGUUGAAAAUCAUCAAAUGGCAAAGCAACAGAGGAAUAAAACAUUCUUCUUCACAUCUGUGGGUGAGCUCUGACUCUUGAGGCAGACAUUUGCCAGUUUGCUGGAAGAUGAACGCCCGUGAGGAGCAGAGACAGCAGCUGGAUCCUGCUGAUUCACACCUUCCUUAGCAGUAAAAAGUUGGAGCUGAGGUCCACGGCACACAGCUGAGGAAAAGUCUCUC